rnacentral:rRNA from 1 species
AUUGAACGCUGGCGGCAUGCUUUACACAUGCAAGUCGAACGGCAGCGCGGGCUUCGGCCUGGCGGCGAGUGGCGAACGGGUGAGUAAUGCAUCGGAACGUGCCCAGGAGUGGGGGAUAGCCCGGCGAAAGCCGGAUUAAUACCGCAUACGACCUGAGGGUGAAAGCGGGGGACCGAAAGGCCUCGCGCUAUUGGAGCGGCCGAUGUCGGAUUAGAUAGGUGGUGGGGUAAAGGCUUACCAAGGCGACGAUCCGUAGCUGGUCUGAGAGGACGACCAGCCACACUGGGACUGAGACACGGCCCAGACUCCUACGGGAGGCCGCAGCGGGGAAUUUUGGACAAUGGGGGCAACCCUGAUCCAGCCAUGCCGCGUGCGGCAAGAAGGCCUUCGGGUUGUAAACCGCUUUUGUUCGGGAAGAAAUACUCUGCGCUAAUACCCCGGGGGGAUGACGGUACCGGAAGAAUAAGCACCGGCUAACUACGUG